UAUCCACCGGUUAUGGUAGCUGUGGCACUAAUUGUUGAAUAAUACACAGCAACAACAACACACCACCAACCGCCUUCAAUCGUUGGAGCAAGCCUGGCGAUGAUGGCUUUGGAAUUAUCGGCUUUGCUCUCUUCAUACAUAUAUAAAAGAAAGUCACAAUGAUGUCGAUGAACAGAGGAGCUGGGGCACAAGUGGAAUAUAAUGUUGAAAAUUAGGGAUUUU
rnacentral:lncRNA from 1 species